rnacentral:rRNA from 1 species
AUUGAACGCUGGCGGCAUGCCUUACACAUGCAAGUCGAACGGCAGCACGGACUUCGGUCUGGUGGCGAGUGGCGAACGGGUGAGUAAUACAUCGGAACGUGCCCAGUAAUGGGGGAUAACGCAGCGAAAGUUGUGCUAAUACCGCAUACGCCCUGAGGGGGAAAGUGGGGGAUCGCAAGACCUCGUGUUAGUGGAGCGGCCGAUGGCUGAUUAGCUAGUUGGUGAGGUAAAGGCUCACCAAGGCGACGAUCAGUAGCUGGUCUGCGAGGACGACCAGCCACGAUGGGACUGAGACACGGCCCAGACCCCUACGGGAGGCAGCAGUGGGGAAGAUUGGACAAUGGGGUGAACCCUGAUCCAGCCAUGCCGCGUGUGUGGAGAAGGCCUUAUGGUUGUAAAGCACUUUAAGCGAGGAGGAGGCUCUUUUGGUUAAUACCCAAGAUGAGUGGACGUUACUCGCAGAAUAAGCACCGGCUAACUCUGUGCCAGCCGCCGCCGUAA